GCGUCGCAACGAAAGCAAUGUUAGUCUUAGAUAGAGAGAGUAAGAGAGAGAGAGAGAUUGUCGUCGUCACUACGAAGCUUCUACGCAUUGUGUCGUAUGAUGACUCUGAUCUCCGUGAUUGGAGGAGGUUUCUGCGGCCACCAUGACCUAAGCUUCCUUCGCUUUGCUCAAGUCGAAGACAAGGUCUUCCUCCUCGAAGCAUUUGGGGACCCACCUUAUCACCCAGUGAUCCAUUUGUAAGGCGACAGCCGGAGAUUUCAAGAGAAUUCCUUUUGAUUCAUAUGUUGGCUUUUCUCUAAUGUAUAUUUUGUUUGUGUGGGUGUGAUAUUUUCAUGCAUAAUCUGACCCGCGGAGAGUAUUCUUUUGAUCGGAACCAUUACAGUCACCGACAAACGAACAAGUGAUUGGAUUAAUUGGAUUAUUAGACUCGAAGAUGAGUUUGGCUGUGACAUCUUACAUCGAUCAGCUACUUACAUUUCCAAUUAGCGUGUGGCAGCAUCACGUUUCUUCCACCGCUUUCUCAUCUCUGUCAUCAUUCAUCGAUCAGCUUGAGCUGCCUGCAGCACUAUCUCAGCUCUCCUCGACCUAAUCGCGUUGCCUUUGUCAAAGAAGCGAGGAGGCGGAGGAGGAGGAGGAGGAGGAAAGGAAGACUUCCGCCAUGGUGCUUCCUUUUCUGGUGCAUUCCACCGCAUCAACAACCCACCCACACAAAGGCAGGCGCACCUCGCUGCACUUGGAGAGAUCAACGGGGUGGUUGUUGUGAUGAUCUCUCGAGUUUCUCUUCUACCACCGUUGGGAAGGAACUAAAAUUUGUUUGCAGAGCUCACCGCAGCUAUUCAUUAUCAACAAUUGGACAGAAGAAAAGCUCAUUUCACAUAUCAUUGUCCUGUGAAGAGAGAGAGAGAGAGAGGGGUGCAAAGUUAUUAUAGAAAAAGAUCGAGAGAAAAAGGAAAAGAAGGAUUCAUUUCCAGGGAGGGUCAGACUUGUUCUUAUUAUUGCUUGCUUCUUCUUCUGGAAAAUUCCGACGAUUCCGACUCGUACACACCACAUCGCCAUUGAACCCUUCCAGAAUAGCAUCGAAGAGUUCGGUUUCUCGCAUCAAAAAUUGGUUUUGGCCAUCCGAAGAAGCACGAGCGAGAGGAAGAGGAGGAAAGGUCGGACCUUUGCGCGGAUUACUCGAAGGCGUCGCCUGAUUAGCGAUCGGUUCUGGUGUAAAGGUUGUUCCUUUUGGGUGUUUGAUCUUGAAAGUUUAAACCACGAGGUUUCUUUCGGCCUCUCGGUCAGAUGGGGACUUCGUGGCUCAUUUGAAAAUGGAGCGGAUCGAUCGAGGUUGUGGAUGAGGAGGUGGUUUCUUGGUUGAUCUUUCGAUGGAAGGAUGCGAUUUGCCCUAAUCUUGAAGGGGCAAGGAUGCUUUGACUUCCCGAUCUGGUGGUGGUGUUUGGCUGAUAGGGAUGGAAGGCUCUCGGGGGAGCUCGAAUUCCCCUCCCCCGUUCCUCACGAAGACGUACGAGAUGGUGGACGACCCGUCGACGAACUCCAUCGUUUCAUGGAGCCCCUCUAACACGAGCUUCGUCGUGUGGAAUCCGCCGGAGUUUGCUAGGGAUUUGCUCCCCAAGUAUUUUAAGCACAACAAUUUCUCCAGCUUCGUCAGGCAGCUCAACACUUAUGGUUUCAGAAAAACAGACCCUGAUCAAUGGGAGUUCACAAAUGACGAUUUCAUACGAGGACAAAGGCACCUCUUACAAAACAUUUACAGACGCAAGCCGGUGCAUAGCCAUUCGCUGCACAACCAAGGCAACACUUCGGAAGCUGAAAGACAGGAGCUUGAAGAGGAAAUUGAGAGGCUUAAGCAAAAAAAGGGUACACUAUUGAGUGAGUUUCAGAAGCAGACACAGCAGCGGCAUGGAAUGGAGCACCAAAUGCAGUCCUUAGAGGAUAGAUUGCAGGUUUUGGAAAACCGACAGAGAAGCCUCAUGGACUUCUUGGCACAAAUCAUACAGAAACCCGGGUUCCUUUCUAACAUUGUACAAUUCUCUGAUCUUCGUAGCAAGAAAAGGAGAUUGCCAAAGAUCGAUUUUCUAGGUGAGGAUGCUAUAAUGGAAGAUAACCAAAUCGCGUCUUUUCAGCCUGUUGCAAGAGAAAAGUCUGACAUUCUUCCAAUGUAUGCACUCGACAUGGAGCCAUUUGAGAAGAUGGAAUCAUCGUUGAAUUCAUUGGAAAAUUUCUUCAAAAGUGUUAGUCAAGCUUCUGGUGACGAUGUCUGCUAUGAUAGUAUCGUGCCAUGCCUGCCCUCUAAUGUGAUUCUUGAUGAGAUGAAUGCAUCAUCCGGGGAGACUGAUGUGAAUCUGCAAUUGCUGUUUCCUAAACUGCAUCCUCCUUCACCUUGCCCGGGAGAUAUUCAUUCAUCUCCAGAGGUAGCAGAAUCCACUAGUGAUGCAGAAACGUCUGUUAUUCCUGCAACCGAAAUACAAACAGAUUCACAAAGCAAGGUUUCUAAGAUAGACAUGAAUUUAGCACCUGCUGCCAUAGAUAUUGAUUCGUCAAGAGGUCAAACUACCGGAACUGUGGCACAGACAGGGGCAAAUGAUGUGUUCUGGGAACAGUUUCUUACGGAGAUCCCAGGUUCUUCUGAGACAAAGGAAGUCCAGUCAAAAAGAAGAGAUUUAGAUGACAAACAAAGUCAAGGAGAGAUGGGAGAGCGAGGAAACACAUGGUGCGACAGGAAAAAUGUUGAUCACCUUGCAGGAAAGAUGGAAAAUCUCACUUCAGCAGAUUAAACUUGAUGUUUGUAUCUCUUUUCUUUAGUUUUUAAUGUGUUACAACCUAUAUGUGAUCUGAUAGUGCGACAUAACUUACGGUGGUCAUGUAUGAUAAACUUGUUAUGUUGUCGGUUCAUUCCUUUUAUUUUUCGUCCCUGGUUAGAAGUAAUUUGUAGUUUUCUUAGUAAUAAUUCUUUCAUCAUAUGGAUGGUGGUAUCAAGUCAAAAGUAGCAUUCCGUAUCGUACCAGACUUUAGGCGAUGCCCCCUCAUCUUUUGACUCAAUCCUAUCAAUCAACUGAAUCCAUAUAUAUUCCGUCCUGUGUAUGUUUUACAUAAUUAAUGUGUGCCUAUGGUCCCCAUGUGUAACUUUAUCGAAUCAUUCAACAAAGUUUCAUUAUAGUCAACUGUGUUAGACUUCGUACAUCUGCUAUGAUUGUAAAGAAAUCAUUCUAUAUAUACGACAAUCACCUUUAACAACCAAAAGCCGUCUCCUUUUAGUUUCUUCAAUAUGACAAUUGCUAUAUGAUGAAAUUUAGUUUCAACUGAAAUGUAUAGUAUGCUAACUUUUCAUCUUAUAAACCGAAUAUAUGUCUUACAUGCCGUCCUUUAUUUGUGUGUAUAGUACUGUCUGUUCUGCAGAGUCCAGGGUGUUCUCAAGAGUGUCUUUGUGCGGGGGAGCCCCAGCGUGUUUGGUUUUUCACUCGGCUACAGAACCAGAUAUAGCAAAGGAUGCUCUUGUCUCCUACUGCGAAGUGCCAUUGAAUUGUUCGUGUCGAUUACCCGAUAUAGUUUGCAGAUAAGGAUUUCCCCACAUUGCAGGAGUACAGCAUCACGAAGCAUAAUGCAAUCUUCAUCGCUUGCCGGCGCCAGAGAGGGCACUCUGCUUGGCCUUGUUUUGCUUAUUCCAAAUGGGCAUUCUGCUUGCUAGUUCUCCCUGUUGCUUCCACUCACAUUUUAUAAAGCAUCCAAAAAUGCUUAUCAGUCUUGGAAUCAGACUUUCCUUUUUUUGGGGAUAGAUACCAAAGUUAAAUAAAUGUUAAUUAGUUGAGUUGUUAUAGUCAUCAUAAUGAUGGGAGCCAUAGUGAUUGCUGCAUGAUGCAGUUUGCAUGGUGCAAGACUCUGUUCUAUGUGGUGAUAAUUGAUAGUAAUUGUGUGUU